GGCCCCAUUUAUCUCACCCCUAAUCCAUCGCCCCUUCACUCCAUACCUGCUCCGUCACAAACACACUCCCACAUCCCCAAUUCGAAACCCUAGCUCAUUGUCCAUCUCUCCUCGGCACAGCCGAGACGCCACCGCUCGUUGCCGUCCUCGGCGUCCUAUUACCUUCUUCAUCGUCUCCUUCCCGGGUUCACGUGGCGCGAUUUCGUUCGCUUAGCAGCGGCGGAGUUCCCUUCGUUCCAGAGGAAAAUGUCUCUGCGGCCUCCGUCUCCGGCGAGGGACGAUCGGUGCCCAGAGAUUUCUCUCUCUCUCUCUCUCUGAUGCACCGCCGCUGUCGCCUCUGCACCCGACUCGGCCAGUAGCUGCCGCUGCGUGUUCGCGGUGGAGACGCUGGUCGCGCCGUUCGUUGCCGCGGUUCGGCAGAUUUCUCCCCGUCCCUUCCCCGCUGACUAGCUCCGUCGUUAAACGACCUUUCGCAAGCAAAGUUUCUCUUGCAUUUAACUAUUUGGUUACUCUCUAGUGAAUCAAAGUUGUAAGCUUAAUAGAAUAUCUUUGAUUAUUCGAGUCCGGUUGGGGCUUCUGUUAUAUCCUCGUUUCUCAGUUAUGGCCUAGCGUGCUCUCGUCAGGAGGCUAUCGAUUUUACUUGUUUUCCUAUAACAUUUUCAUGCUUAUGUUUUCCGAGACUAUGGGGCUUUACUAGCAUGCUUGUGAUGCCUGCUUAAUGUGAGAUUUCCUACUACAUGACGAUGUGACUUGGUUAACUGAGUUUGAUGGGGAUUGAAAUUACCUUCUCUGAACUUCUUGUUAUUUCUUACUUCUGGCUUGCUCUUCCUCACUUCCUCCCGCUGCCUCGGCUCCUCUCUUUCUUUAACUGGAUGUUGCUUUGUGAUAAUGAGGGAGGAAGGGGCUGAGCCCUAUUUAUGUUUAUGGACUAACUGAAAGCCUGUAAAAGGCUGAUAUCUCUGGUUGGAAGGUAGUCCUUGAUGGACUGAUUUGGCUGUUACUUCUGCAGAAAAUUCGCAGGGUGUACUCGUGAGGCUGAUGAGCCUACGGCUCCUUGUUGUGAUCUGAUACUACCACUGAAAUUGGUGCUUUAUUUCCGUACUCCCCAUCUGCACAUCUAACAGCAUUUGGCUCUAUAUGGGGUGUAGUACUUGGUUUAUUUAUUGCUUCUGUUGGUUUAUGGAAGGUGCACACAGGAGGGAGCAUUUUAUGGCUGAUUCCUUGACCAUGGCAGGUCUGAAUGUAAGAGGUAUGAGCUGGUAACGACAGCCUCGUGGGGUGCAGCUGUUGGAGAGGGAUUUGUUGACUGAACUUGCCCCUCUCGGCCCAGCUCUGUCUCACCCUUCCGAAAGGACGACACUGUGGAUGCACAAAUUGCAUCUGCAAUAGAAGCGUGCAUGGCGCUAGGUGAUGAUGAUGACUACGUUCAAUCAGAAUUGAAAGAAUCUAGCCAAAAUCUUUUGACCGAAUUAAUAGUUUACGAUCCGGACCUUGCAAGUGCUGUGAUUGAACAAAUGGAGGUACGUUCAAAAGCCGAGAAGAGAAUAUCCGCUGCAUUGCGAUCUCCAUUCCAUGAAAGAGUGGUCCAGGCAAAAACAAAGUUUACCUUGAAAGAGUCACAAAUCUUUUUGUGGAUUAUGACAACAUGUGAAUUAAAUGAGGACACAAAAUAUUGUAUGAUGAUGAUGUCGUAAUGGUAACAAAAAGAGAAUUACGUUCACUGUUGCCACAUACGCUAAUCGAAGUGGGUGUGAUCAACGCGUGGGCUUCUUAUUUGAAUAACAUGGAAGAAUACAAGGCUCUAUCUUCAUCGAGGCGGCUCUUUUCACAACAUACCCAUCCGCAAGAAUAGUAUAAAUUUUGAAAAAUUAACUGCAUGCUGUAUACAGUUGUUCAUCGGCCUGAUGGGGUCGACAUCAUCACCAAAAUUGAUAGAUUCUGUGACAAUUUAGAAAAUGAGGUUAAACAAAUUCCGUAUUUCAAGUGGGCCGACGUAGAUUUGGUGAUCUUUCCAAUUUGUGUUGCGGAACAUUACUAUACCAUAUGCUUCAGAUUUAGCACUAAAAGUAUAGUGGUGAUUGACAAUUCAAAGAAUGGUGACGACGAGGACAUUACAGUCAAGUAUGGUAGCAUACCUGAAACUGUGAGAGUGUAUUUUUGUCAUUAUUUGACAAAAAUGGGUUUUCACAUGCAAUGCAAAUCAAUAACGGAUGUGAACAUAAAAAGGCUCAAAAUGACUUGGAGAACAACAUCAAAUGUAGAAGAUUGUGGAGUUUUUUUGAUGAGACAUAUGGAAUGUUAUCAUGGUGAGCGGGAACAAGAUUGGAAAUGUGGAUUAACUAAAAGAAGAACACUCCAAAGACUAAGAACAAAGUAUUGCAACGCAUUAAUGUUGUCGGAAACAAACCAUGAGUCAUUGAAGAACUUGGCAACAACAUCAAGGCAUUAUGAAGAAUAUGGGAAAAACAUGAACAUAGAUGUGAAAAAAAUGAUUGUAAACUUCAAGCGUUCAUGAACUAUUGUAGUAAACUUCAUUUAAAUUCACUAUUUAC